rnacentral:rRNA from 1 species
GAUGAACGCUGGCGGCGUGCCUAAUACAUGCAAGUCGAGCGAACAGACGAGGAGCUUGCUCCUCUGACGUUAGCGGCGGACGGGUGAGUAACACGUGGAUAACCUACCUAUAAGACUGGGAUAACUUCGGGAAACCGGAGCUAAUACCGGAUAAUAUAUUGAACCGCAUGGUUCAAUAGUGAAAGACGGUUUUGCUGUCACUUAUAGAUGGAUCCGCGCCGCAUUAGCUAGUUGGUAAGGUAACGGCUUACCAAGGCAACGAUGCGUAGCCGACCUGAGAGGGUGUUCGGCCACACUGAACCUGAGACACGGUCAAACCUCCUACGGGAGCCAGCAGUGGGAAAUCUUCCGCAAUGGGCGAAAGCCUGACGGAGCAACGCCGCGUGGGUAAUGAAGGUCUUCGGUUCGUAAAACUCUGUUAUAGGGAAGAACAAAUGUGUAAGUAACUAUGCACGUCUUGACGGUACCUAAUCAGAAAGCCACGGCUAACUACGUG